rnacentral:rRNA from 1 species
AACGAACGCUGGCGGCAGGCCUAACACAUGCAAGUCGAACGAAGUCUUCGGACUUAGUGGCGGACGGGUGAGUAACACGUGGGAACGUGCCCUUUGGUACGGAAUAACUCAGGGAAACUUGAGCUAAUACCGUAUGUGCCCUUCGGGGGAAAGAUUUAUCGCCAUUGGAGCGGCCCGCGUCUGAUUAGCUAGUUGGUGAGGUAAAGGCUCACCAAGGCGACGAUCAGUAGCUGGUCUGAGAGGAUGAUCAGCCACAUUGGGACUGAGACACGGCCCAAACUCCUACGGGAGGCAGCAGUGGGGAAUCUUGCGCAAUGGGCGAAUGCCUGACGCAGCCAUGCCGCGUGAAUGAUGAAGGUCUUAGGAUUGUAAAAUUCUUUCACCGGGGACGAUAAUGACGGUACCCGGAGAAGAAGCCCCGGCUAACUUCGUGCCAGCCGCCGCGGUAA